rnacentral:rRNA from 1 species
AACAAGGCGAUGAUCAGUAGCCGGUCUGAGAGGAUGAACGGCCACAUUGGGACUGAGACACGGCCCAGACUCCUACGGGAGGCAGCAGUGGGGAAUCUUCCGCAAUGGACGAAAGUCUGACGGAGCAACGCCGCGUGAGUGAAGAAGGUCUUCGGAUUGUAAAGCUCUGUUAUACGGGACGAAAAAGACGGAUGCCAACAGUAUCCGUCCGUGACGGUACCGUAAGAGAAAGCCACGGGCUAACUACGUGCCCAGCAGCCGCGGUAAA